UGAGCUUAUGUUCUCCACCCACUACUUACUAAGAACUCCUUAACAACUUAAAGCUUUAUCCCUGUGAGUACCAGAAAAGUGAUCUGAGUAUUUAUUGAGCAGGGAGAACAAACUGCUUGCUCCAGGCAGGGAGAAAGCUUAUGGAAAUGAUAUUAGACCUUCAGCAAAGUGCACAGCUGCAUCAUACAGAAGCUGAGACUCAAACUGACAGGCAAAUAAGCCAGAUCACGGAAGGGGCCUCUGUGUGGCAGCUCUGAGCUACCAAGUGUUGGACAACUAGGCAGAAAGUGCACUGGAACAGGGCAGAAAAUAACACACUAACUUCAGGCAACUGUUGCUUUUUCAUGGUCUUUAGGGAUUUUACACUGCGUAUCUGCAAAAACAAGUCACCGUUUAAACACUAAGUCUACAGCUUGAAUGGCCUGGAAAGUAACAUUUUCUGUAGAUGUCAGCUUCUGUCUUGUGUGAUGCCCCAUUCUGGUGAUGCCACAUGCAGCACUGAGUACUACUGGCAGAUGGAAGAGGUCUCUUAGAAUAAGGUAUACAGCUGCUUUCCCGUUUCGCAGCAGGACUGUGUUUGCCGCUUCACAAGCCACAGAGCAAGAGAAGCCAACUUUAGGAGCAUGCAUAUUGUGAUAUCCUCAGCGAUUUCUUUUACAAUGCACUCUGCUCAGGCCAGUGAAUUUUGUUUAACUGACCAGCAGUAUUUGGCACUGGGUGAAAACGUACCUUUCAUAUCAGUGAAAGAAAAAAAUAAAAAUGAAAAAGGAAACUGAAGUUAAUUAUACCAGAAUUCAACGAAGCUGAACGGCUUCCAGAAGAGCACUGAGUUUUCUAUGCCAGAUUCUGCUCCAGUGGCUAGGACCUUUAUGGCUGCUGUUUCUUUUGCUCUGGGCUCUGAUGGAGGGGAAAAAAAAAAAAAAGCCACGGUGGAUCCUGUCCCUAAAGUAGAAAUUUUCUUUUUCGUUCUGCAAACAAGGCUAAAGAUCGGAGGAGAAUGAAUGCGAAAGUAAUUUGGGAUUGUGGUCGUGCCAUUAAAAGUGUUCGGCUUCAGAAUGAAAUUAUUCGGGAAACCCGAGCAUUUCUUCUUACUGUAUCGACAGUAUUUGAAAGUUAUGUGUGCUUUGAGUAAUCUGGUUCAAGUGACAACAGUCUCUGCAUGUCAAUGUUUUCUACAGCUUAUGGAGCGAAAGCUAGUUUUGACAUUGGAAAGGAAGAAGCUUUUGCUAGCAGUCUGUAGAAGGAUUAAAUGUUGAACGUGGGGAAGAGGCAAAAAGUGAAUACACACCCAAAGGUUAUCCUUGCAUCGUGAAUGGCUUUAAAGUACUCUGUAACCCAGGGCCCACCUGAACAGUAGGACUAAAAGUAUAAUGCUGGAAUAUUUCAAUUAGAAACCCCUUAACAAGCAUUUAAUCCUUCUUUCAGGCAUUAAGGGAAAUAGAAUAAAAUUGUUACUGUACAAAUCUGCUGGAAGCAGAUUUUAACCCAUUUUUAGAUGCUUCCCUCUGAUGCAUUAUAAUAUGGCUACUUGCAAGAUGAGGCAGUGAAGAUUUUUUUUCCUGUGUUCUUUGAUUUUUCUUUUUAAAAGUUAAGGAUGAUACUCUAAGAAAAGUCUGUUCAGUCAGCUGAUAGAUUGUUUGAAUGUAUGUAUGCCUCUUGCCUGCUUAUUUGAUCUUUUCUGCCCCCUACUUGAAACUGUGGUUUGUUUAUUUGGGGGGAAGGAGGGGUUGUUGAUUUGGAGGGGGAUGUUGGUUUUGGGGUUUGUUUUAGUUUGGGGUUUUUUUUUAACAAUAGCAGUGAAAGUUUUACUGACAGCGAUUAUGACUACUAAGCAAUUCAGUUUAUUGGAAGACGAAUUCUACUGGAUCAUAUCGGACUUUUCCUAGUCCCUGAGACCCUAACUUGUGAGGUUUUUUAGCAACAAUCACAAGUCAGGCUCUUGGGACCUAGGCGGAGGGGAACCAGCAGCUUUGGACUGUGAUUGUUUCUCUGCAGAAUUUAGAGAACCAAAGGAGCUUUCCUUGUCUGGAAUGGAAAAAGGAAAAUAUACCUAAUUCAAAUGUUAAGCAGCAGAACUGUUCCUAAAACAAAAAAAACUAUUAUCCAUUGUGCAACAUUAGCAUGUUACAUAUUUGUAUGUUUAGAAAACUGGACUAGAUGCCAUGUAACAUUUAGAAUUAAAAUUUAACCUGAAUGCCAGUUUACACCUCAAAAAAACAACAACAAAAAAAAAAACCAAAAAAAACCCCAACUCAAAACAGAUACUAAAAUAUACAAAAGGCUUUCAACCAUAUUAUUAUUAUUAUUAUUAUUAUUAUUAUAGACAAUUUUGAUAGGUAUUUACCGCAAAGUAUAUUUUCAGCUGUAUUCUUACAGCAUUAAUUAACUUUUAAAACAUAAAGCAUAAACACUGAUGUUUGAGGCCUAGAAAACAUUCAUUCUAUUGUUGUUUGAAUAAUGGUUUCGGUCUACAGGAAAACUGUUGCUUAGCUUUUCCUGUAACAUGGGACAAAGAUUAUUUUGCAGCUAGUUGCCAUCAUUUUUCUUUGUCUAGGUGAGAACACAAUAUGGGAUUUAAAAUAUUCUCUAAUUUAAUUUACAUUUUAAUCUGAUGAUAGAGAAUAUUGGUGGAAAAAAUCAUACUACAGCAUUAAAACCACUUUGCACACAGAAUCACAUUUCUUGUACCUGUUCAGUUUAAACUGAGCCAGCAAUACUCUAAGCACCAGACUCGACUUCUAGCCUCUCCAUCACUUUUUGCAUUUUUUCCCCCCUCUGACAAAAAACAGAGUGAGCUUUAGGUUGUCCCUCAUGUAUUAAGUACUUCACUGACUUUGCAUAAGAGGAUUCACAAGCACGCAAGUUAUUCUGCACUGUUCAUUAGUCUUGAACUUCUGAUCUAUAACACAUAAUUUGAUUUGUGUUUCUUAAUAUUUUAUAGGUGGGUUAGUUCUGAGUCAUUUUUCUCUGUUUCCUGGGUCUAACCCAAGAUGCUGCAGGACCUUGUUGAUACAUCAGACUUCACUGAGACAAAGGCUUCACACAGAUCAGGCAUCUAAACUAUUUGUUCAUUUCAAAAGUGGUAUUUUGGCUGUAGUAUAUUUUUUCCACUUGUAUGGGAGGAAUUGUGUUUUAUUGUAAGCAUCAACACUAUUGUUAAAAUAAAUUGUUCUUGUCUGUUAGUAUAA